AUUGAACGCUGGCGGAAUGCCUUACACAUGCAAGUCGAACGGUAACAGGUCUUCGGAUGCUGACGAGUGGCGAACGGGUGAGUAAUACAUCGGAACGUGCCCGAGAGUGGGGGAUAACGAGGCGAAAGCUUUGCUAAUACCGCAUACGAUCUCAGGAUGAAAGCAGGGGACCGCAAGGCCUUGCGCUCACGGAGCGGCCGAUGGCAGAUUAGGUAGUUGGUGGGAUAAAAGCUUACCAAGCCGACGAUCUGUAGCUGGGCUGAGAGGACGACCCGCCACACUGGGACUGCGACACGGCCCAGACUCCUACGGGAGGCAGCAGUGGGGAAUUUUGGACAAUGGGCGCAAGCCUGAUCCAGCCAUGCCGCGUGCAGGAUGAAGGCCUUCGGGUUGUAAACUGCUUUUGUACGGAACGAAAAGACUCUGGUUAAUACCUGGGGUCCAUGACGGUACCGUAAGAAUAAGCACCGGCUAACUACGUGCCAGCAGCCGCCGUAAAAC
rnacentral:rRNA from 1 species